rnacentral:rRNA from 1 species
UACAGAGGGGGCAAGCGUUAUUCGGAAUUAUUGGGCGUAAAGGGCGCGUAGGCGGCUUUUCAAGUGACGGGUGAAAUCCCUCGGCUUAACCGAGGAACUGCCUGUCAGACUGGAAGGCUUGAGACCGGGAGAGGUGAGUGGAAUUCCCAGUGUAGCGGUGAAAUGCGUAGAUAUUGGGAGGAACACCAGUGUCGAAGGCGGCUCACUGGACCGGAACUGACGCUGAGGCGCGAAAGCGUGGGGAGCAAACAGG